GAGGCAUGGAUCAGGAAACUGAAGUGGCCUGAUUUGGAACAGUUCAGCAAGAAAAGGUGGAAAGCACUGUAUGUAUCUCCAGAAUCUACUGAGACAGCUGCUUUCCACAAGGCCUAUGAGAACUUUGCUUUCUUCUGGAUUCUCAAGGCUGGGCACAUGGUACCAGCUGACCAAGGAGAGAUGGCACUCAAAAUGCUCAGGAUGGUGACUCAGCAGCAGCACUAGGGGAGGGGAAAUCACCUGGUCUGGUCUGAAGUGUGAUUCUGGAUCCUAAGCCAAAGGAGGCACAGUGGCCAUUUUGACACACAGCCUCCCUCAUCUUGCUGACACUGUGCACAAGUGCUUGUGGAAAGGCAUUUUUUUCCUUGAAUGAGUUAUUGCUUUUGAAUUUUUAAGCUGCGAUUUGCUGCCUUAACAUUGUUCAUAAAUGACUCUUCCAGAGGGAAGUCCCCUGUCAUAAAGAACAAGCCCUGAACCUUUGCCUUGGAAGGAUUUUGUGCUCUUUCCCUUCCCUGAAUGCUCCCUUGUCUGUCUGCACACCAAGAGUAAAACUGAUUUGACAUGAUUUGCUUUGUGUUCCUGUGGGACAGCAGACCUGCUUCAUGGAGGCUGUGGAAUGUUCCUUCCUGUGUCCUCAGGCUUGAGUCACCUGGCUGGAUUACAAACUGAAGACAUGGAAAUGCCAGGACAGAGGACCUGCCCUAGAGGAAGCACAGUUCAUUUCAUCUUGCUGAGGUGCCUGCAUUAGGAUCCAGGAUUCUUCAGACUUCCUCUGCUGUGGAAGAGAGAAAAACAUCCCACAGAGGAGGAUUUGUCCCUUUUCAUCUGACCAUUUGUUUCCAUUUUUCUUAAUGCCCAUUACUCAAACUUUGCCUUUAUCCUCAACACCUAAAGCACAUCCAGCAGGAAUUCCUGCUUUUCUGUAUCCUGAAGCAGAAGGCCUGUUAAUACCCUCUUGUACCAAAGAGUCCCAACAGACAGAAGCCUCUUAAAACCUUCUGGGUUUAGCCAGAAGGAAAGGAGCAUUAUUUGAGCAAUAACAGCAUAAUUCUGAAAGACAAUAGGAGUGUUUAAAAGAAGGAUAUACAAAAUCUUGAUCCAUGUCUUUUAGAGAUUUUUUUUAAGUCUUGCGGAGACCUAUUAUUUUGAAACAUUUUUUUUUAUAAUACAUAAUCAAGAAGAGACUUGGUCAGACAUCAUUUGACUUUUGCUAUGGAGCAUGAACUAGUUGUUUCUUAUUGGUGUCUGAUGGGAGGCACAACAGCUGCUUCCAGCUGUCAGAAUCCUAAAUAAAUAGCAACCUCUCACUUACUCCA